AUUGAACGCUGGCGGCAUGCUUUACACAUGCAAGUCGAACGGUAACAGGGUGCUUGCACCGCUGACGAGUGGCGAACGGGUGAGUAAUGCGUCGGAACGUGCCGAGUAGUGGGGGAUAACGCAGCGAAAGUUGUGCUAAUACCGCAUACGUACUGAGGUAGAAAGUGGGGGACCUUCGGGCCGCACGCUAUUCGCGUGCCCGACGUCUGAUUAGCUAGUAGGUGAGGUAAAGGCUCACCAAGGCGACGCUCAGGAGCGGGCCUGAGAGGAUGAUCCGCCACACUGGGACUGAGACACGGCCCAGACUCCUACGGGAGGCAGCAGUGGGGAAUUUUGGACAAUGGACGGAAGUCUGAUCCAGCCAUGCCGCGUGCGGGAAGAAGGCCUUCGGGUUGUAAACCGCUUUUGUCAGGGAAGAAACGCUCUGGGUUAAUACCUCGGGGUAAUGACGGUACCUGAAGAAUAAGCACCAGCUAACUACAUGCCAGCAGCCGCAGUAAUAC
rnacentral:rRNA from 1 species